rnacentral:rRNA from 1 species
AUACGGAGGAUCCGAGCGUUAUCCGGAUUUAUUGGGUUUAAAGGGUGCGCAGGCGGCCAUUUAAGUCAGCGGUUAAAUCGUGGGGCUCAACCCCAUUCUGCCGUUGAUACUGGGUGGCUUGAUUGCGGUCGAGGUUGGCGGAAUUCGUUGUGUAGCGGUGAAAUGCAUAGAUAUGACGAAGAACACCGAUUGCGUAGGCAGCUGACCAGACCGCAAAUGACGCUCAUGCACGAAAGUGCGGUGAUCGAACAGGAUUAGAUACCCUGGUAGUACGCACAGUAAACGAUGAAUACUUGUUUUCGGCGAUAUAAUGUCGGAGGCAAAGCGAAAGCGAUAAGUAUUCCACCUGGGGAGUACGCCGGCAACGGUGAAACUCAAAUGAAUUGACGGGG